GCUCGACAGAGGGCAGUGCAGGUUUUGUGUUGUAGAGCGGGAGGGAGUGCUAUAAAGCCAACGUAUAUGUAUGUGUCUAUAUAAAAUUCAGCUCCAUAUCGAGUUAUUAUGACGUUACAUAUUCCAUCAUACAUUGUGACCUAAAAUGUUGACAUUGGUUGAGAAGAAAAUGUGACGUCAUGUUAAAUAUGGCGACUAAGCAUUAGUUCUUAAAAGGAAUAUCAACGACUCAUCACUUUAGUGUGAUAAUACCAUUCAACAACUGACAAACGUCCAGACAGGAACUGAGAAUACAAUUUCGUCGGACUGCACUGUACAAAACGGAGAAAAAGGAAAAUGAAGGAAACAAGUAGAGAAGCAUAUCGUGCUCUUCAGUAAAAAUUGGAAUAUUUAAUUUUCAAAAGGCUCCAAACGCAAAAAUUCGUGAUCCUUAGUAUCCCAUAUUUGUCACGAUUUUUGCAGCUCACAAAGUUUAAGGACCUUCCAUAAAUAAAAAUUAUAGUUGACCUCCUCGUGCUCUUUAUUCUAUCACGUGUGAAAAGUGAACAAACAUUUACAAGACGCGGUCGGAGCUUGGCAUUUUUAGACAUCGAGUAUUAAUUUCAAUUCAUUCAUUGAACUGAAGAGACAAAAUGUAGUGUUAAGAUGUUUUACACGUGAGUGCAACACAAUAUAGAAUGUACUACAAAAGUGAAAGUACAAGUAUAGUACUACAAAAUUCAAAGACACGCAAACAGUCCCGAGUCUUUUAAAGUGUGGAGAUAUCAUGGUUUCACUAUGGGAACUCUCAUCGUCACUUCUUACAGUCAGAUUUGUGUUUAUUUACAUGCCAGGUGAAGCAUUUUCCGUCAAAAUGAAGGCCCCAAAUGAAGCUCUGGAAUUUUUAAGAAUGACAUAGAUGAAAUGAAGAAAGCUGAGACUGAGCGGCUCGAGGCAGUACAAACUGUCCUCUCAAAGUCAAGACUGGUGGCGGAUUUGAAUGUAAAAGAACUGUUGAAUCUAAUGGCGUCCCAAGAUGAAAUUCUCAUCGAAAUUCGCAAAACGCUGGAGGGUAUGCUUUGGACCUUGGGAGUUGCCAAUCAGGUUGAAUUUACGAGACUCGUUGAGAAACUCAGAGGCCAAAUACGACAAAUGGAUUCGAAUGAACUCGAAAUCAAGAAAAAAGGAAAAUCACUUCCACCAGAUCUCUUACAGGAUGAUGAGAUGAAAAAAUUGAUGGAUACACUUGAAACGGAUUAUGUUUGCAUAACGGCAACUAUAGGCGCAGUUAAGGCAAUGAGUCCGGUUGAAAUAUGAGAUAGAAACCUUUUCAUACCAAAAAGAUCUCUUGUGGACAAAAUGAAUAUAUUUGGAGGAAAAGAAUCCUGGAAAUUUGCGGGGUCUUCAUGGUCGAUCCUUAAACGGCUCAUUUUCUUCAGGAAGGUCCAAUACAGUUUACAUUGUAAUUAAGGGAGUUCUAGGGACUCAUUAAUCUUAGCCUUAUGAAAAGCAUAAUUUUUACGACGGAUGUCUUAAUUUUAACAAUUUAACUUUAGAAAUGCAUCCUGAAGAGGAUUCGCAAUGAUUUAUCAUUGAGAAACUACAUAAUACAAAAGAACAUGUAAUGUAAGUUUUGUAAAUUUGAAAGUUAGUCGUUAAUUACCUAUAUAUGGUUAAACCAACCAACCUACUAUCCUCAAAGUUUGACAUCAUGACAAAAAAAUUUCUUUUGUGCUUUGUAUUGUUUGCAGUAACGGAGCAUUGUAAUCCUUUGUGAGGAUCUAUUACCAAACUUAAAUUGUUGAAUUUCACUAAAGAUUCAAUCGUCUCUUAGUGCAUCGUCCACAAAAGUAGUACAAAAUCAGACAAAAGAGUUUGAAAGCAGUUCACUUAUUUUUAUUUUUUACACCGGGUGUAAUUUUCAAUGAGCCGCAAGACGGAAUUUCGGGAAAUAACCCUUUCGUGAAAACCUAUUGUUACCAUUCGCGGAGUUCUGGUUCAAUGAACGGAAACGCCCAACGUUCUUUUCCAGGCAACGAUGACAGAGUAAGACAACUCAGAUUUCAUGUAAAGAAAGUUGUUAUUCGGCCUUUUCAAGCCAAGGCUCGAGGAAAUUCCUAGAAACGCGUCAAAGCUUCUCGACUUUUUUCUCCUGAAUCCAACUCACUUAUAGUUUCAGGAAUAAGCCGUAAUCAAAAGGAUAUCAAUAAAAAGGCGAAUCGAUUCUUGGAAACGGAUAAAAGGGAUAAGUUGAUUUCCACGACUGAAUUCGACCCCUUUACAGGGUGUCCUAACAGUGUUCAUUAAUGAUUAAAGAUAGGUAAUUGUUUCCAGUCUCGUUUUGCGGAGCGUAUUUGCCUGCUUGUGCGUACAAUUUUCUACAGUUUAAAAACUCUAGUUUAAAAGUCUACCGGAUCAGUAACUAUAUUUCCUCGUGAGGUUAAUCCGUUUGGUCCUUUGAAUGUUUGACCUCAUUUUACAAGGGGAUAAGGUUUGCGUAUCUCUCUUUGUACCAAUCUUACAAUUACUGCCACUUCGUGUCAUUCUGUAUUCGCUCUGCCCUGUAUAAUU
rnacentral:lncRNA from 1 species